CCUACGGGAGGCAGCAGCAAGGAAUUUUCCCCAAUGGGCGCAAGCCUGAGGGAGCAACGCCGCGUGGAGGACGACGGCCUUCGGGUUGUAAACUCCUUUCGGGUGGGACGACCGCGACGGUACCACCAGAAGCAGCCCCGGCUAACUCUGUGCCAGCAGCCGCGGUAAGACAGAGGGGGCAAGCGUUGUCCGGAGUUACUGGGCGUAAAGGGCGCGGAGGCGGUCUGCGGCGUCGGCGCUGAAAGCGCCCCGCUUAACGGGGCGAGGCGUGCCGAUACGCGCAGACUUGAGGCGAGCAGAGGGUGGUGGAAUUCCGGGUGGAGCGGUAAAAUGCGUAGAGAUCCGGAGGAACGCCAGUGGGGAGGCCGGCCACCUGGGCUCGUCCUGACGCUGCGGCGCGACCGCGGGGGGAGCAAACCGGAUUAGAUACCCGGUUAGU
rnacentral:rRNA from 1 species